AAAAAAAAAAAAAGAAGAAGAAUCACAACCACAGUGCUGAUAUGGAAAAAUCUACAUCAGUUCUGGGAUUAGCUCCUUUCAGGAAUACAUAGUUUAUUCACUUUCCAGUUUCAGAGUUUAAGGCAUUCACAAAAUUCAAUUAGUUUUGCUUAAAGGAAUCCUCAUUAUACAUUAGAUAUCAACAAGCUUGGUUUCACUACCAUAGUUUCCAAUAUGCGCAUAAGCAAAACAUCACA
rnacentral:misc_RNA from 1 species